rnacentral:rRNA from 1 species
CAAUAGCGUAUAUUAAAGUUGUUGCAGUUAAAAAGCUCGUAGUUGAACUUCAGGCUUGGCGGGGUGGUCUGCCUCACGGUAUGUACUACCCGGCCGAGCCUUACCUCCUGGUGAGCCUGCAUGCCGUUUAUUCGGUGUGUAGGGGAACCAGGAAUUUUACUUUGAAAAAAUUAGAGUGUUCAAAGCAAGCCAUCGCUCUGAAUACAUUAGCAUGGAAUAACAUGAUAGGACUCCGCUCUUAUUUUGUUGGUUUCCGAGACUGGAGUAAUGAUUAAGAGGGACAGUCGGGGGCAUCCGUAUUUCAUUGUCAGAGGUGAAAUUCUUGGAUUUAUGAAAGACGAACUUCUGCGAAAGCAUUUGCCAAGGAUGUUUUCAUUAA